ensembl:lncRNA
GACUUCUAGGCAGUACUCGGCUUCCGUGGUUGAUCAAGACCAGGAAGGAACAAAAGUGGAGCAUCAGAGAUGUUGAUGGACAGAUUUGCAGGAAAAGCAUCAUGUGCUUCUUCGUGCCUCGCAUAAACGCCACACACACAAAGACGGAGGUCAGCAGCUGUGAACUCAGCUGUCACUGUGCUGAAACAGCUGGUCUUUAAAGAUACUAAUUGGUAGCAGAAAUAGACUUAGUAAGGGCCUAACAACCCUGCCAAGACUGGCGUAGCUACUGCCGUUGCUGAGCCUUUAGUGUACUGUAUCGUAUACUAACACUGAAUCCUUAACAUAUGACGUCCUGAAGGUACACAAAUGUGGUGCAGUGUGAUUGCAUUGAGCCAUGUGUGCCCUGUAGGAGGCUUCUUACUGAAAAUGAUUCUCCCCUACUGAGAAUCACAAAAAUCUAAGUGAGUUUGUUUCCCUCUUCUGUCUCUACUAUAGCACUACUCUCUGAAGACUUAUGGGAUUCUUGGUACCUGUUUGUGGUAGUUUAAGUAGAAAUGGCCCCCACUAGCUCAUAUAUUUGAAUACUUGGUCAUUAGGGAGUGAGAGAAGAGAUGUGAUCUUGUUGGAGUAGGUGUGGCCAUAUUGGAGGAAGUGUGUCACUGGGUGUGGGAGUUUGAAUGUAAUUGGCCCCCAUAAUCUCAUAGGGAGUGGCACUGUUAGGAGGUGUGGCUUUGUUGGAGUGGAUAUGGCUUUGUUGGAGGAAGUGUGUCACUGUGGGGGUGGGCUUUAAGGUUUCCUAUGCUUAGGAUGCUGCCCAGUGUUUCAAUGGACUUCCUGUUGCCUACUGACCAACAUGGAGGACUUUCAGCUACUUUAGCACUAUGUCUGCCUCCAGGAGACCACGGUCCACAUCAUGAUGAUCCACGCAAAAGAGAACACCAAGAACUUUGAGGUGCCAGAAGCUCAGAGCAGGACCAGUGUCUCUCUCUUCCUGAUGCUGUGGGUCUGGUUGUAGAAGUCUCAACUACCUCUUCAGAACUAUGCCUGUCUGCAUUCCUCCAUGCUUCCCACCAUACUGGUAAUGGACUAAACCUCUGAAACUGUAAGAAAGCCCCAAUUAAAUGCUUUAUUUAUAAGAAUUGUCAUAAUUAUGGUAUCUCUUCACAGCAAUCGAACAUUAUUUACGAUGCUGUUGUUUUGGUGGGGGGGUUGCUUGUUUGUUUAUGUGUUUGUUUUGAGACAGGAUGUGACUCUGUGUCCCUGGCUGUAUGGCACUAGAAACUGCUUGAUAGACCAGGCUGGCUUUGAACUCACAGGGCUCCACUUGCCUUUAUCUCUACCUCUACAAUGCUGUGAUUAAAGGCAUGUACCACUACUCCUGGCCUCUGACUUUUUUUUUCUUAUCCUAAAGAAAGAAAUGACUGUGAAUAUGACACUCAUGUCACACAAGAAGAUGCCUCAUCACUGACAAAAUGCCUGACAGAAUCAACAUAAAGGAGGAAGGGUUGAUUUGGGGUCUUUGUCUUAGAAAUUUUGGUCUAAGGUCCUUGAUGCCAUUGAUUCUGGUUCCCUGGUAAGGCAGAACAUCACAGCAAUGGAAGCACAUGGCAGAAGUGACUCACCUCAUUACAGAUGGGAAACAGAGAGGAUGACAGACAGACACAAAGGGACAUGGGACCAGAUACAUCUUUCCAAGGAUGCCUUCUAUGACCUCCUAUCUCUCACCACUUCCCUGUAAUGCCACCACGAUACACAUUCAUCAAGGGACUAACGUUAACUAAUUCAGGACCUUAAGAUUCACUCACUUCCCAAAGCCCAUUCGCUGGUAGCCAAGUCUCCAGUACGUAAGCUUUUGAAGAGCUGCUUCAUAUUCACACUGUAACAAUACCUAUGCAAUAUGUAAUAGGAAAUGAAAAUGGUCCAUUCAAGAUGCUACCAAGACUCCAGUCUAGGAAUGAUGCCUUGCAAAUUAAAGUGCUGUCCAUUAAGAUGUGAUAUACACUCUGAGCCAACAGCCUGAACGUGGUUCUGUAUCCCUAAUAAAACACAAGGAUCUAAGCUCCAACAGUUAGCAAUGGUGCCUCCACCACCACUCCCAACAACACACUUAGGGAAUCUAUAUCACCUCUCCCUGGAACCUUAAAUCCUGCUGAUUCCCUUGGGAGAGAUGCUUGCUUCUACUAGGUGACACUAAGCUGAAGCCUGGCCAUCCGAAGCUCUGUGUGUCAGUAGCCUAGCAACAAAAGGUGGUGCUACUAUCCUAGUAGAACUAAUUGGUUGUCAUUAUCAAAAAGACCCAGAAUUUCUGCUACAUAAUGAAGACAGAGUGGAGGGUGUCUCUAACACAGAGGAUAUACAAGGAAACUCAGUGUGCUGGGUUAGUUUCACCCAUGAAUAGGCAGCCACAACAACCCAGCCUGCUUCAAGCAUCACACAGAAGCUCAGAUUCCUCGGGCAUGAAAUCUGGGUUAAAGCACCACGCAAGCAAAAAUGAGCAAGCAAGCACAGGAAGAGAUGCUCAUCAUUGCCAGUCAUUAGGGACAUGCUAAUCAAAGCCACAAUGACUUACCACUUCAUUCCCAGCAGGAGGGCAUGAUCAGAAAGAAGGACAAGUGUUGGUGAGCAUGUGGAGAAACUGGACCAGAACCUUCCUGUGUUACUGGAGGGGUGUGGACUGGAGCAGCCUCUUUGUGGAAAAGUUUGACAGCUUCUUAAAAUAUCAAACAUGGAGUUACCAUAGAAACCAGAACCUCUGCUCCUAGCUAUACACCCAGGAAAAGUGCAUGCAACUAUCUACACACACACACACACACACACACACACACACACACACACACACCGCACCUAAAUGCUCACAGCAACCAAAUGUCUGUUGUUCAUGAUAACAAAAAAAGUAAAGCAACCCCAAUAUCCAUCUUUAAGGGUUAAUAAAAUGGUAUUGUGAUUCUAUAGGAUAAUUCUACUAUAAAACAGAAUGGAGUAGCAGUAUAUGCCAUGACACAGACGAGUCAAGGAAACCCUCAGCUGGAUGUAAGGCAUCAGAUGGAAAAGGCCACACGUCCUAUGAUUCUGGGUAUAUGAACUGUCAAAAUAGAAAAAUCCACAAAGAAUAACUACCACUCAGUGGUACAGUAUUCAUGUAACAUGUGAAACGCCCUGGGUUCAAUCCUCAACACUAAGAGGAUAGACAGAGAGAGUAAAUUGGUGGUUGCAGGAGUGGGUAGUAGGGUAGGAACUCUGCAUACACUUUCAAUAAGUGAAAGAGGUUCAGUGGCACAUGUGAGGCCCAGGACCAACCCCGAGUACUGCAAAAAGGAAAGGUAGGGAGGCACCCUAAGGUGUAUAGAAUGUAUCUCAGCAAAAAAAGAAUUGUAUGAGAAAAACAAUUUCUGGUCAAAGCUGAAGAGAGUUGAAUAGUGAAGAUAAAGCUUUGACCUGAAGCAGUGGAGAUGUGCCUUAUCCCAUUAACCUUCUUUUGGAAAGUUGGGAGGGGUUUUGUUUUGUUUUUUCUAAAAAAGAAAUUGAAACAAUGGGUCACCGUCUGGAAGCACCAGUGAAAAGACACCUUGAAAGGCUCACAUGAAGCUCAAAAGCACACUCUCUCACAGUGGCUUUCAUCUGCAAGCAGUGUGCCUCCUUCCCGAGGUCUGUCUCUGACCACUGGAGCCUAUCCAGUACACCUGCAAAGGAGGCCGGGAGUGCCUUUAGCAAGGGCUGAUGGGAGUCACAGGGUCAAGUACACAGUAGCACAGACUUAAGACUCUUCUGUACAGCAAAGAUAACAACAAUCAUCAGCCUAGAAAAUGGCCAGGAGGGCAUCUCUCUACAGAUACCCAUCAGAUGUGGGGUUGGUACAUAAAGCAUGUAUCUCACUCCCUUCAGAAUAGACCGCAUUGAGGAAACAGGUGAUGGGUAUUGUUGCAUCCAUGCUAUGAUCACAGGACUUGAAGGGCUGAGGCAAGAAGAAUAUGAGUUCAAGGUCAGCCGGACCUACAUAGUAAAUGCCAGUCCAUCCCAGGUUAUAGAUGUCUCAAAACAAACAACAACAAAAUAAAAAUAAAAAGGACAACAACUACUGGAGAGAAUUGGAGGAAAAGAAAUGGUUAGACAAUGAAUGCAAACUUGUGCAGCCACUAUGGACAUCAGCAUGGAAGUUCUUCAAAACUAAAUGGAGAGCUUCCACAUGACCCAGCCACCGCACUGGUCACUCCAAGUCAAGUGGCACAGAGAUGCUUGCACUUCCACGCUGUUGCUGCACUGUCCAGGUAACCAAGCAGCCCUGGAGACCCAGGUGAACAGAAAAGGAAAUAUCAUGGAACAUUCUCUGUGAAGAAAAAUGAAAUCAUGUCAUUUUCAGGAAAAC